CCUCCCGAGGGCGAGGGCGGGAAGCCGAGGAGGUCGGUGAGGACGCUCAGCCGAGGUGGGCGGCUCGGCAGGGCCCCCGGGAGACGGACCGGUCUCAGGGCCCCGCGACCAGCUUUCCUGUGUCACCACCACAGGCGGGCCACCCAGCUCCAGGAGGAGCACCGUGAGGACUCUGAUGAAGAACGGGCUCCGAGGCAGCAAGUGAAACCUUCCUAGGUGGCCUACAGGAGGGAACACAGUAAACACCAGAAGGGUGAAAUAACAGCUUCUUUCUCUGAGUUCUAAUGAAGCCACUCUCAUCCUGUUUAGAAUAAUUUGUUCAGCCCGCCUACCUCUGCGUUGUGAGCUCUUUGAGAGGCUGGUCCA